ACUUGUGCAGAGCUACUGCAUUGUGUUUCAGCCUAUCGGCAGCUUUCCUUAAAACAUUUUUGAAGUUUGUUCUAUACUUGGGAUAGAAGUUUUACUAAAGUCCCCAAAUUCACUCUUUCAAUAACAGCUGAGAGCAAUCUUGAACCUUUUACUGCCCGACCCUUUUCCUUCCCGCUAUUUGGUUUAGGGGUUCCGCUCCAGCUAUAAGCUUUCAUCAGUUCGUUCGUCAUUACCUACCGCCAUAUUCUUCUGAUUGUGUCUUCUACGUUUUUUUUAAAGAAUGGACGUAGCAUUUACACCUUAAUUGAAAGUAUGAUUUAGAAACAGAUGACUCAUUUACGAGGGGUACACCACACCAAAAAGUGGUGUGAUGGAAACCCAUAGCUCAUUUACAACAUUUUUUGGAACUUACAAGAUUGUUGUUAACUUCCGGUUGUAACAGUCCCUCCUCAAAAUGUAGGAAGUCUUCUUUUGUGUUUAACGGAAGGCUGACGUGUCUCUGAAAGACUAGAUGGCGAUUUCCUUCGCUGUUAUUGUUCCGCACUUCAGAUUGUUUCUUUGCAAUAAUAAGCCAACGCAAAUAUCGUUGCUCUGCUCUAAUGUCAGGUAAUUCUCUCGCCAUCACUCGUAAAUAUUGAUUUUUCUCUGUAAUAAAAAUAUCAACAAAUUCAUAAUAAAGAUUUAGACAAGCAAACAUCUCAAAUUUCUCACUCGAAACAUUUUUCAGAACUUUUUUUUUCUAAAGAGUAUCUUUUUUAUCAGGUGAACCUGAAGUUCAAUAAUACAUUAAUAUAUAAUUUAUGUGUUUAUGAAAUAUACGAAGAAUUCUAACCCACCAAUGGUUGUUUUGCGCUUUAAGUGAGGGUUAGUUGUCUCUUGGGAGGUUGAAGGCAUUGCCAUUAGUGCUUGUGACUGUAUCAUGCUUAAGUCCUCGCCAUUUUGGCCACGAGAAGUCUCGCCUGAAUCGCUCGUCCCUGGCUGCUGUGAUGUAACAGUAGGUUGCGAAAAAAAUGUGUGGAGGCUUUUUAUGAGUGACGCUGCUUGUCAAAAUACUAAAAAGCCGCCAGAUGUCUUACCUGGGAGAACUAAGGCUGAUUCUGCUUUCCGCAAAGCAAUUUUCGGAUUACUUGUUAUGCAUUUAAGACUUAAACGGGAAAAUGUCGUCUUGACUGUUUGUGUAUUGUGUUUGUGUAUUCCUGUUCCGAAUUCUGAACAAUUUAAUUUUUAUUUCGGUUAUGUGCUUCAUAUACAUUGUAUGGAAAAAUGCUUGAUGGCAGAAUUGUAUUAAAAACAAAAGAAAGUAACGAGGAAGAUCGAGAACAGAAGUGUUUAAGAAGUGUACGCAGUGUGAAGGACUCUACUCCGAAUCAAGCGAGCCACAAUUGCUAGUUGAAGCUGUCAUGUUAGUAGAAGUCAGCAUAACAUGCCAGACCAUGUCAUUAAAUGGUCGUGUAAAUUAUCAAUAGCUCGUGAAAUGGGCAUGUCCAGUUACGGCAUGACACGGCUAGCGAAAUGGGCAACCAAGGAACCAUUCUCAGAUUCGGAGAGGAAUUGACUUGCAUCACUGGAUUACCUCAAAGAUGAAUGGAUGAAGUUACCGAUGACAUUCACACAGUCUGCCUUAUUAUUAAAAGUUAGUUAAUAAUCUAAUUGUUUUAUUAUAGGAGAAAUGAAAAGUAGGCAGAACUUCUCUGUCGUUGGAAAUCGGAUAUAACUAUUCGCGGAAGAAGAUACUGUGCCGGAAACCCAGACGGAUCACUGCGAAACGCGACCCACGUUUGAAGAGGCCAAAGAUUUGCUCUCAUAUAGAAAAACAGAUAGCGCCAGAAAUUUAGGGAGGAACUGGCUAACCUACUGGGAAAACGAAGCCGGAAGAACCGAACGCGAUACCCGAUUGAAUUUCAAUAAGCAGAUUCGACUGCUGAAGUUGAAUGGCCACUCGAAGGAAAUUCUCAGUAUUCACCUUAUCUCUAUCGAAGCCUUUUGCUCUAACGAAAGGUUGCCACCGGUGGGACGUUGGAACAUGAUUCCGAUUUCUUCGCUAAAAUGAAACUAAAUAAAUAAACGUUCUCUUUCCAAUAA
rnacentral:lncRNA from 1 species